AUCAUACCAAGCCGUGAAUUUGGCGUAACGGUGGCUUCCCCGAACAGCGCAUUGUUUGCUUGCUGUAAAAAACAAGUGAAAUAGAGUGCGGAAUUGCAGCGUCGUGCCUGGACUGUAAAGCAAAGUGUUGAUUUGGUCGGUGUACUGUGCAAUGCAAUGGAGUGGCAAUUUAUAAUACCUCAAGCAAGAGCGGAGCUUUUGCGGUCGGAUAAAAACCAUUACUGCGUCGGUCGAGUACUUGACGCCGCCGAAGUCCCGGAUGCGCUGAAGGCUUCGCGAGUGAUUUCGAGCGACCCGUUCGCUAUAUUCGACCAUUUCGAUACGUUCUAUUCGGUAAUCGACAAUGAGAAGGCUUUGGCAGGGACGCAUCUGCUGCGUGCCUACGAUCAGCUCUACGGUGCUAUCGACAAGCUCGGCAGUACGAUGGCGGACCUGCUGUCCCGGAAGGAGAUAGACACCACCGAUCGGCAGUCCGCACUGAAUGCGGUCAAAAUGUUAGCCUUCCUCGUGAACGGCCUGGUGAAGGCAAUCGAUGCGCAUGUAAAUGCCGCCAGCGAGAAGCUGACAACAAAGAAGAGCAAAAAGCAGACGGCCAACGAGCAGCUGGAGGCGUUGGAUUGGGACAACAAACGGUACCAAUGCGUCGUCCAGCUGUACAAUUUGUUGCAGCUUCCGCUGGAGAAGCUGUGGGAUCCGCCGGUGUGUGAGGAAUCAUUUGUAGAUGUUAUUUGUGAUAUCUGCUAUCGGACGCUGGAGCAAUCGUACGUGCGGAAUCGCAGCACCGCGGACAGUGUGUUUCAAAUUCUGGGAACCGCGAUCAAGCGCUACAAUCAUUCGCUUGCCUUUCCCGUGCGCAUUCUGCAGAUUCUCGAACACAUCGAAGCGGCAAUCCCUUCCGUAGCGGCUGGAGUAUUGCUGCUCUACGAGGAGUUCGGUAUACAGACAAUCUAUCCCGUCAUUAUCAAGGAAAUCAUCGAACGGCUAAGCGUCGACUCGGCCGAUCAGCAGACGGCACGCUUUUUCAGCCUUUUUCUGGUCGAGCUUGGUACGCUUGCGCCGAAGCUGAUGAUACCGCAUCUCUCGACGCUGAGCGAGGAGCUGCUGAAUCUGGAAUCGUACACACUGCGCAACUGCGUGCUCCAGAUAAUGGGCGAAGCGAUCGUCAGUGAGCUCACGUCUGAAGAGCUGUCGGAUGAGCUGAAGGAGACGCGAGAUGAGUUUUUGGAGGAUCUGCUCAACCACAUGAUGGAUAUAUCGGCCCAUGUGCGGUCGAAGGUACUGCAGAUAUGGUUGAAUCUCAAGGAGCACAAUUCUGUCCCGUUGGCAUGGAUACACAAGGUGCUGCACGUGGCCGUCGAGCGGCUGGAGGAUAAAGCGCUUCUUGUACGCAAGCAAGCCAUUGCGCUGAUCAAAGCUUUCCUAGAACACAAUCCUUUUUCGGCAAAGCUGUCUCUGGCUGAGCUAAGGGCCCAAUACGAGGAGGAAGAUAAAAAGCUACAGGAUCUUCGCACUCAGCUGGUGGAGCAAGAUACUAAAAUGAAAGCGGUUGAAGAGGAAUGGGAAGAAAUCGUGGUGCAGAUGUACCCAACACUAACGGAGUUGUUUGGCAAGGAGCCAGAAGAUCUGGAAACAGCAACCGAAGCCGAUGUAAAAUUGCUUUCCGAGAGCAUCAUCUCGUUGCUAAAGGAGGAAAAAUAUCAGGAACUGGUACGGUUGGUGCAGCGGGCCGAUUAUGCGCUUGGUAACAGUGAACAGCGAAAAGAGAUGACGUUCGAGCAUCAGUGCAUGUACUACAUCACAUUGCUAAAAAGCUACUUCAUUCAUGGUCAUACGAAUGUGACACUGAAUGCCGAGUUCCAGAAGGUGGAAAAUUCGGUCAACUUCCUGCACGAUUCUAUCCGCUUCUCAGAGCUAAUAUCGAAUGCCGUGCCGAAGUUGCUGGAGAUGCUAAUGUCAAAGUCUCAAUCGGACGUUCAUGGCGCAAUCGACUUUUUUACCUCGGCGUAUCUCUUCGGCAUCAAAGGCACAGAACAGGGCAUGCAGCAGAUGCUUUAUCUCGUGUGGUCAACCGACAAGGAGAAGCGCGAGAAUGUAACUGCCGCCUACAAACGGGUGCUGUUUGAGACGAAUCUGCAGGGCCGGGCACACACGGUCAAAGUGGUACGCAAUUUGAGCCAAUUCCUUACGAAUCUGACCCGUGGCCAGUACACGGCAAUGGAGGUGCUCGUACAGGAGUGGGUCGAAAACGGUGACAUCGAUGCACAGAUGGUGCAGGUUCUGUUCGAAAUUUUUACCCUCAAGCUGGAGAAUGUGUCGCCGGAGGAAUCGCGUCAAGCGCUUCAGCUACUGGUGAUGGUAUCGGCGGCGAAACCGUCGGUUGUAACGGCUAACCAGCGCCUGUUGGAAACGAUCGGAUUCGAGGAGCGGGGACGCAAAGAUCCUCGAAUUUUUGUCGCCACGUUAGACUUGCUUAUCAACUCCAUUCCGCCGGCAACAAACAGCUCGAAAUAUUACAAGCGCUUCGAUCACACGUCCUCUACCGUGCAGCACGUAAUCGAUCUGUACACAAAGCUGUUUUUCUGCUCGCGUGUUGAUAAUUUUGACGAUAUCGGUACCAAGGUAUUUGAUUUUAUCUACAAAAUGGUCAAAACACCAGACCUGCUCUCGCAAUCGAUCGUGGUAGCAUUGUACGAGCGGCUGCAGAAGCUCGCGGAAUCGAGCACAGCAGACGCCAGCUCCGAAGAGAUACGCAUGUCGCAGAUGAGUCAAAUAUCGGGAUCCACGCAAGAACAGAACAGCCGUGGAUCGCAGAACAUGACACAGCCAGAGCAGCUGAUUUUAGACAUUCCUCACUUUUUGGCAGCCCGAUUUGUCUUUACCAUCGGGUACGUUGCAAUGCGCGAGAUGAUCUAUUUAGAUAUUGACGUGUACAGCAACAUGAAAUAUCGGCAGGAACUGAAGGAAGAGUUGAAAAAUCAGAAGAAGAAAAAUGCCGCCCUGGCGGGCAACAAGAGUGUGAUGGCGACGCCGGUCCGUGCCGGAACGGCAGCACAGAUGAGAAAAACGCUCUCUACCUCCAUGAACGUAUCGGCCAGCAAUGCGCUGAAGCGUCUGUCCGGUUCAACCGGAGCAGCAGGAAGCAAUGGUCCGGAGCAGGCCGAGCCGGAAGAGGAACUGUUGAGCGGUGCCACGGCAGAGGAUGCGGUCGCGGAAGAGAUUAACUACAUUUGCGAGCAGGAACUGCUCUAUGGUAGGGACAAUUUGCUGAACCGUUUAAUUCCUACCGUGCUGGAGGUGUGCAAAUUUCCGAACCGCUAUCGGGACGAAAUGCUACAAAAGGCGGCCGUUCUGACGCUGAUCCGUCUGAUGGCCGUAUCGUCCAAAUUCUGUGAAGAUAACAUGCCAUUUCUGAUGAACAUUUUCAAGCACACGAAAAAUACCAACAUUAAAUGCAACAUCAUGAUCGGUCUGUCGGACUUUACCUUCCGCUUUCCAAACGUGAUUGAACCGUGGACAAAGCACAUGUACUCGACGCUGUAUGAGCAGGACGUGGAGCUGCGUAUGACGGCGGUGAAGAUGUUGUCUCAUCUGAUCCUGCACGAGAUGAUACGCGUCAAGGGGCAGAUUUCGGACCUGGCGCUCUGCAUCGUCGAUCCGGUAAAGGACAUUCGCACCAUCACGGAACAGUUCUUCAAGGAAAUUGCGAACAAAUCGAACAUUUUGUACAACGUGCUGCCGGACAUAAUUUCACGCCUGAGUGACCCGAAUCUGGACCUUGAGGAGGAAAAGUACCACAUUAUCAUGCGAUACAUCAUCGGACUGAUCAAUAAGGACAAACAGAUCGAGAGUUUGGUGGAGAAGCUGUGUCUCCGGUUCCGGGUAACGAAGGAGGUGCGGCAGUGGCGAGACAUUGCCUUUUGCCUAUCGUUGCUUUCGUACAACGAGAAGACGAUCAAGAAGCUGAGCGAAAACAUUGGUUGCUUUAAGGAUAAGGUGCAGCACGAGGAGAUUUACCAGUCAUUCCGAACGAUUAUCAGCAACACGAACAAGCUGGCGAAGGUGGAACUAAAGAACGCAGUUGGCGAAUUUGAAACGCGACUAAAGGAAUGUCUGGAGGUACGCGAUGAAACUAGAGAUGCUGCAGGCAGUAACAACGCUGCGGGAGGUUCCUCAGAUGAAGCGAACAGUGAAAUUGCUUCCACCUCGGAUAAAACAUCCAACGCAGCAGCAAGAAGAGGGCGAGCAAAGACUGUCGAGCGAGGAACUAAACCAUCAGUGGCCGGCCGAGCAAAUAAAACUUCCAAGAAACCCGGCAACAGUAAACCAGCGGGACGCCGCGGCAAAGCGGCAGCGGUACAAGACUCGUCCGACGAGGAAGACAGCGACAGCGAGGAAGAAAAUCUGCCCCCCGCAUCGAGUUCGCGAUCUAUGGCCAGGGCACGCCAGAAUAUGAAGAUUACCAAAGUCAUCGAAAGUGACAAUUCAGACAUUGAGCCCGACACUAGACGCAAAAAGAAAAGAACAUUCGCCGCCAAACAUAGGGGGGAAGAAUGAGCAAAUUGUAGAGGGUGCGAGAAAAAGUGUAUGAGACAGAGAGAGGUGGAGAGAGAGAGAGAGAGAGUGCGUGUGUGUGUGAAAACACAUCCUCUAAAAUCAAUCUACUUUUCUGCCACUACUCAUCCACAUCCCAAAGCCAAAUUCCUAGCCGAGCCACAUGUUUUCAGCGAUUAUAAACGGCGCGGUAGAAGCAGCUUUCUCGACCAGCAUUGCCUUCCCGGCCCCGCGUGUGGCACGUGUUUCUUCUAUAUAAAGGGGUUAAACAUUUUAAGCCCUUCACUGUCACGGACAGUCCUGCGUUCGCUACUAUUGAUUGCGUACAGAGUAUAUCAAAAGAUGUAGAAUAUGUUCGUUUUUAAAAAUUAUACAAAAUUUGGGCAGCCAUAGUAAAACAUAUAUUGCAGCAGUAUGAAUUACUUCGCAACAAACCAGAAGUCGUUUCCGGUAUGCUUAGUACGCAUAGCACGUAUAGCGUGUAACAGAUAGUCCAGUCCCCUUUAGCAAAAGUAGUUUGCCAUUGAUUGCAGGAAUAAAGGUAGUAGAUUCGUAAGGAUACCAAUUCCUCCCAGGGCGGUUUGGUGUGUGUGUGUAUGACGAAGAGGAGGAGAAGGAAGAGCUGCCCCCGAAACGUGGGAAAACGAAACGGUAGCAUCGCCCCCAAUGAUCCUGUGUCGCGUCAGGCACAUAUCCUCCUAAUCAACAUGUCACACAAGCGGCAAUGUCCCUUUCUACAUAUAACCCCAACCUUUUCUCGGUCCAAGUAGUCCUGCCUCUUCGAGCAUCGCCGUGGCGGGGACCUUGCAUAUUAGUGUGUAUGUGUGUGCCCUCCUCUUCCACCAGUACAACCGCGGCCGUUUGGUGGGUGGGUGUGUAUGUUUUGUUCAAUGUUGAUAGUAACUUAUUACCCUAAAAUAUAGUUUUAAUGUGAAUUUAAAGAAUAGCUGUUAAAUUGAAUGUAUUUAACAAAAAUAAAAAAACACACUUACCUGACUCAUGCUGACAUAGAAAGCCCUAGAGAUGAUAGGGCGAUGAUUUCAGUAGCAUUCGAUCUUCUCGGCGGUUUUUGAAAGCUGCUGCUGGCUGGCGCUUACAGUUCAGGAUCAGCUUUUAUCAC